rnacentral:rRNA from 1 species
GACGAACGCUGGCGGCGUGCUUAACACAUGCAAGUCGAACGGAAAGGCCCUGCUUUUGUGGGGUGCUCGAGUGGCGAACGGGUGAGUAACACGUGAGUAACCUGCCCUUGACUUUGGGAUAACUUCAGGAAACUGGGGCUAAUACCGGAUAGGAGCUCCUGCUGCAUGGUGGGGGUUGGAAAGUUUCGGCGGUUGGGGAUGGACUCGCGGCUUAUCAGCUUUUUUGUGGGGUAGUGGCUUACCAAGGCUUUGACGGGUAGCCGGCCUGAGAGGGUGACCGGCCACAUUGGGACUGAGAUACGGCCCAGAAUGCUACGGGAGGCAGCAGUGGGGAAUAUUGCACAAUGGGCGGAAGCCUGAUGCAGCAACGCCGCGUGCGGGAUGACGGCCUUCGGGUUGUAAACCGCUUUCGCCUGUGACGAAGCGUGAGUGACGGUAAUGGGUAAAGAAGCACCGGCUAACUACGUG